GAUGAACGCUGGCGGCGUGCCUAAUACAUGCAAGUCGAGCGAACGGACGAGAAGCUUGCUUCUCUGAUGUUAGCGGCGGACGGGUGAGUAACACGUGGAUAACCUACCUAUAAGACUGGGAUAACUUCGGGAAACCGGAGCUAAUACCGGAUAAUAUUUUGAACCGCCUGGUUCAAAAGUGAAAGACGGUCUUGCUGUCACUUAUAGAUGGAUCCGCGCUGCAUUAGCUAGUUGGUAAGGUAACGGCUUACCACGGCAACGAUGCAUAGCCGACCUGAGAGGGUGGUCGGCCACACUGGAACUGAGACACGGUCCAGACUCCUACGGGAGGCAGCAGUAGGGAAGCGUCCGCAAUGGGCGAAAGCCUGACGGAGCAACGCCGCGUGAGUGAUGAAGGUCUUCGGAUCGUAAAGCUCUGUUAUUAGGGAAGAACAUAUGUGUAAGUAACUGUGCACGUCUUGACGGUACCUAAUCAGAAAGCCACGGCUAACUACGUG
rnacentral:rRNA from 1 species